rnacentral:rRNA from 1 species
AUUGAACGCUGGCGGCAGGCCUAACACAUGCAAGUCGAGCGAGCGGCGGACGGGUGCGUAAUGUCUGGGAAACUGCCUGAUGGAGGGGGAUCACUACUGGAAACGGUAGCUAAUACCGCAUACCAUCAGAUGUGCCCAGAUAGGAUUAGCUAGUGGGUGGGGUAACGGCUCACCUAGGCGACGAUCCCUAGCUGGUCUUAGAGGAUGACCAGCCACACUGGAACUGAGACACGGUCCAGACUCCUACGGUAGGCAGCAGUGGGGAAUAUUGCAAAAUGGGCGCAAGCCUGAUGCAGCCAUGCCGCGUGUGUGAAGAAGGCCUUCGGGUUGUAAAGCACUUUCAGCGGGGAGGCGUUACCAGAAGAAGAAGCACCGGCUAACUCCGUGCCAGCAGCCGCGGUAAUAC